GACGAACGCUGGCGGCGUGCCUCAUACCUGCAAGUCGAACGCAGUGGGGACGGGUGAGUAACACGUGGGUACCCUCCCCAUCAGAGGGGAUAACACUUGGAAACAGGUGCUAAACCGAUAUUGAUGGAUGGACCCGCGGUGCAUUAGCUCGUUGGUGAGGUAAAGGCUCACCAAGUCCACGAGGCAUAGCCGAACUGAGAGGAUGAUAGGCCACACUGGGACUGGGACACGGCACAGACUACUACGGGAGGCAGCAGUAGGGAAGUGUCGGCAAUGGACGAAAGUCUGAACGAGCAACGCCGCGUGAGUGAAGAAGGUUGUCGGAUCGUAAAACUCUGUUGUUAGAGAAGCGGUAUCUAACCAGAAAGCCACGGCUAACUACGUGCCAGCAGCCGCGGUAAUAC
rnacentral:rRNA from 1 species